rnacentral:rRNA from 1 species
UACGUAGGGCGCAAGCGUUGUCCGGAAUUAUUGGGCGUAAAGGGCUCGUAGGCGGUCUGUCGCGUCGGGAGUGAAAACACGGGGCUUAACCCCGUGCCUGCUUCCGAUACGGGCAGACUAGAGGUAUGCAGGGGAGAACGGAAUUCCUGGUGUAGCGGUGAAAUGCGCAGAUAUCAGGAGGAACACCGGUGGCGAAGGCGGUUCUCUGGGCAUUACCUGACGCUGAGGAGCGAAAGUGUGGGGAGCGAACAGG